rnacentral:rRNA from 1 species
UGGGGAAUAUUGGACAAUGGGCGAAAGCCUGAUCCAGCCAUGCCGCGUGUGUGAAGAAGGUCUUCGGAUUGUAAAGCACUUUAAGUUGGGAGGAAGGGCAGUAAGCGAAUACCUUGCUGUUUUGACGUUACCGACAGAAUAAGCACCGGCUAACUCUGUGCCAGCAGCCGCGGUAAUACAGAGGGUGCAAGCGUUAAUCGGAAUUACUGGGCGUAAAGCGCGCGUAGGUGGUUCGUUAAGUUGAAUGUGAAAGCCCCGGGCUCAACCUGGGAACUGCAUCCAAAACUGGCGAGCUAGAGUAGGGCAGAGGGUGGUGGAAUUUCCUGUGUAGCGGUGAAAUGCGUAGAUAUAGGAAGGAACACCCGUGGCGAAGGCGACCACCUGGGCUCAUACUGACACUGAGGUGCGAAAGCGUGGGGAGCAAACAGG